UUCCAGAGAUGGAUUGGUGCCUUCGGGAACUCUGAGACAGGUGCUGCAUGGCUGUCGUCAGCUCGUGUCGUGAACUGUCGGGUUAAGUCCCGCAACGAGCGCAACCCUUAUCCUUUGUUGCCAGCGGUCCGGCCGGGAACUCAAAGGAGACUGCCAGUGAUAAACUGGAGGAAGGUGGGGAUGACGUCAAGUCAUCAUGGCCCUUACGAGUAGGGCUACACACGUGCUACAAUGGCGCAUACAAAGAGAAGCGAACUCGCGAGAGCAAGCGGACCUCAUAAAGUGCGUCGUAGUCCGGAUUGGAGUCUGCAACUCGACUCCAUGAAGUCGGAAUCGCUAGUAAUCGUAGAUCAGAAUGCUACGGUGAAUACGUUCCCGGGCCUUGUACACACCGCCCGUCACACCAUGGGAGUGGGUUGCAAAAGAAGUAGGUAGCUUAACCUUCGGGAGGGCGCUUACCACUUUGUGAUUCAUGACUGGGGUGAAGUCGUAACAAGGUAACC
rnacentral:rRNA from 1 species